rnacentral:rRNA from 1 species
AGCAUACAAGGCAUACGGCUCAGUAACGCGUAGUCAACCUAACCUAUGGACGGGAAUAACCUCGGGAAACUGAGAAUAAUGCCCGAUAGAACAUUAUGCCUGGAAUGGUUUAUGUUCCAAAUGAUUUAUCGCCGUAGGAUGGGACUGCGGCCUAUCAGUUUGUUGGUGAGGUAAUGGCCCACCAAGACUAUUACAGGUACGGGCUCUGAGAGGAGUAGCCCGGAGAUGGGUACUGAGACACGGACCCAGGCCCUAUGGGGCGCAGCAGGCGAGAAAACUUUGCAAUGUGCGAAAGCACGACAAGGUUAAUCCGAGUGGUUUCUGCUAAAGAAACCUUUUGUCAGUCCUAGAAACACUGAUGAAUAAGGGGUGGGCAAGUUCUGGUGUCAGCCGCCGCGGUAAAACCAGCACCUCAAGUGGUCAGGAUGAUUAUUGGGCCUAAAGCAUCCGUAGCCGGCUCUGUAAGUUUUCGGUUAAAUCUGUACGCUCAACGUACAGGCCGCCGGGAAUACUGCAGAGCUAGGGAGUGGGAGAGGUAGACGGUACUCGGUAGGAAGGGGUAAAAUCCUUUGAUCUAUUGAUGACCACCUGUGGCGAAGGCGGUCUACCAGAACACGUCCGACGGUGAGGGAUGAAAGCUGGGGGAGCAAACCGGAUUAGAUACCCGGGUAGUCCCAGCUGUAAACUAUGCAAACUCAGUGAUGCAUUGGCUUGUGGCCAAUGCAGUGCUGCAGGGAAGCCGUUAAGUUUGCCGCCUGGGAAGUACGUACGCAAGUAUGAAACUUAAAGGAAUUGGCGGGGGAGCACCACAAGGGGUGAAGCCUGCGGUUCAAUUGGAGUCAACGCCGGA